rnacentral:rRNA from 1 species
AUUGAACGCUGGCGGCAGGCUUAACACAUGCAAGUCGAGCGGAGAUGAGGUGCUUGCACCUUAUCUUAGCGGCGGACGGGUGAGUAAUGCUUAGGAAUCUGCCUAUUAGUGGGGGACAACAUUCCGAAAGGAAUGCUAAUACCGCAUACGUCCUACGGGAGAAAGCAGGGGACCUUUGGGCCUUGCGCUAAUAGAUGAGCCUAAGUCGGAUUAGCUAGUUGGUGGGGUAAAGGCCUACCAAGGCGACGAUCUGUAGCGGGUCUGAGAGGAUGAUCCGCCAAACUGGGACUGGGACACGGCCCAGACUCCUACGGGAGGCAGCAGUGGGGAAUAUUGGACAAUGGGGGGAACCCUGAUCCAGCCAUGCCGCGUGUGUGAAGAAGGCCUUUUGGUUGUAAAGCACUUUAAGCGAGGAGGAGGCUACUGGUAUUAAUACUACCGGAUAGUGGACGUUACUCGCAGAAUAAGCACCGGCUAACUCUGUGCCAGCCGCCGCAGUAAAAC